GAUGAACGCUAGCGGCAGGCCUAAUACAUGCAAGUCGAACGGUGUCUUCGGACAUAGUGGCGCACGGGUGCGUAACACGUAUGCAACCUACCUUACAUUGGGGGAUAGCCUUUCGAAAGGGAGAUUAAUACCGCAUAAGACAGUAGCUGGGCAUCCAGCAGCUGUUAAAGAUUUAUCGAUGUAAGCUGGGCAUGCGUCCAAUUAGCUAGUUGGUGAGGUAACGGCUCACCAAGGCAAUGAUUGGUAGGGGAACUGAGAGGUCAAUCCCCCACACUGGCACUGAGAUACGGGCCAGACUCCUACGGGAGGCAGCAGUAGGGAAUAUUGGGCAAUGGACGCAAGUCUGACCCAGCCAUGCCGCGUGCAGGAUGAAGGCGUUAUGCGUUGUAAACUGCUUUUAUACAGGAAGAAACUACUCUUGCGAGAGGCAUUGACGGUACUGUAUGAAUAAGCACCGGCUAACUCCGUGCCAGCAGCCGCCGCAG
rnacentral:rRNA from 1 species